rnacentral:rRNA from 1 species
UACGUAGGGUGCGAGCGUUAAUCGGAAUUACUGGGCGUAAAGCGUGCGCAGGCGGUUAUGGAAGACAGUUGUGAAAUCCCCGGGCUCAACCUGGGAACUGCAUCUGUGACUGCAUUGCUGGAGUGCGGCAGAGGGGGAUGGAAUUCCGCGUGUAGCAGUGAAAUGCGUAGGUAUGCGGAGGAACACCGAUGGCGAAGGCAAUCCCCUGGGCCUGCACUGACGCUCAUGCACGAAAGCGUGGGGAGCAAACAGG